GACGGAGCUGGCGUGGUGGCGAGACGCCCUCGGCCGGUACCCGCGGCUGGCGCUGCCGUUCGACGGUGACGUCGGAUCGGAUCCGGCUCCGCCG
rnacentral:tRNA from 1 species